GACGGACGCUGGCGGCGUGCUUAACACAUGCAAGUCGAACGGAAAGGCCCUGCUUUUGUGGGGUGCUCGAGUGGCGAACGGGUGAGUAACACGUGAGUAACCUGCCCUUGACUUUGGGAUAACUUCAGGAAACUGGGGCUAAUACCGGAUAGGAGCUCCUGCUGCAUGGUGGGGGUUGGAAAGUUUCGGCGGUUGGGGAUGGACUCGCGGCUUAUCAGCUUGUUGGUGGGGUAGUGGCUUACCAAGGCUUUGACGGGUAGCCGGCCUAAGAGGGUGACCGGCCACAUUUGGACUGAGAUACGGCCCAGACUCCUACGGGAGGCAGCAGUGGGGAAUAUUGCACAAUGGGCGGAAGCCUGAUGCAGCAACGCCGCGUGCGGGAUGACGGCCUUCGGGUUGUAAACCGCUUUCGCCUGUGACGAAGCGUGAGUGACGGUAAUGGGUAAAGAAGCACCGGCUAACUACGUG
rnacentral:rRNA from 1 species